rnacentral:rRNA from 1 species
CAAUAGCGUAUAUUAAAGUUGUUGCAGUUAAAAGCUCGUAGUUGGAUUUCUGGGAGGUGCCAAUGUCCGCCGACGUGCGUGCGCAGCGGCGCCUUCCAUCCUUCUGUUAACGCCUCUUGGCAUUCAUUUGCUGGUGGCGGGCUCAGAUAUUUUACCUCGAGAAAAUUAGAGUGUUUCAGGCAGGCUAGGCCGGAAUACAUUAGCAUGGAAUAAUAAGAUAGGACUGUAGUGCUAUUUUGUUGGUUUGCGUACUAUGGUAAUGAUUAAUAGGGAUAGUUGGGGGUGAUUCAUAUUCAAUUGUCAGAGGUGAAAUUCUUGGAUUUAUGGAAGAUGAACUACUGCGAAAGCAUUUACCAAGGAUGUUUUCAUUAAUCAAGAACGAAAGUUAGGGGAUCGAAGACGAUCAGAU